UAGCGAGUGCUCACUUUGUGAGAACCACGUGACAGGUACUGCAUGGCUGUCGUCAGUUCGUGUCGUAAGAUGUUGGGUUAAGUCCCGUAACGAACGCAACCCCUGUCUUUUAGUUGCCAGCAUUAAGUUGGGGACUCUAGAGAGACUGCCAAGGUGACAACUUGGAGGAAGGUGGGGAUGACGUCAAGUCCAUAUGGUCCUUACAUCCAGGGCGAGAAACGUGCUACAAUGGUUGGUACAAUGGGGAGCAAAAUCGCAAGAUCGAGCAAAUCCUCAAAACUAAUCUCAGUUCGGAUUGGAGUCUGCAACCCGACUCCAUGAAGUUGGAAUCGCUAGUAAUCGCGGAUCAGCAUGCCGCGNNGAAUACGUAUCCGGGUCUUGUACACACCGCCCGUCAAGUCAA
rnacentral:rRNA from 1 species